GGACCUUGUGAAGUGUGAUGGGGCAGCACUUUAUUACCAAGGAAAGUACCAUCCAUUAGGUGUGACCCCAACUGAAGUCCAAAUAAAAGAUAUUGUGGUGUGGUUGUUGGCAUUUCAUGGAGAUUCAACCGGUUUGAGCACAGAUAGUUUGGCUGAUGCUGGGUACCCUGGGGCAGCCUUGCUGGGUGAUGCUGUUUGUGGGAUGGCUGUUGCUUAUAUCACUAAGAGAGAUUUCUUAUUCUGGUUUCGGUCUCACACCGCGAAGGAGAUCAAAUGGGGUGGCGCAAAGCAUCAUCCGGGGGACAAGGAUGAUGGCCAGAGGAUGCAUCCACGUUCUUCAUUCAAGGCAUUUUUGGAGGUGGUAAAGAGCCGUAGUUUACCAUGGGAGAAUGCUGAAAUGGAUGCAAUUCACUCUUUGCAGCUUAUUCUUCGAGACUCAUUUAGGGAUGCUGAAGCAAGCAAUUCCAAAGCUAUUGCAAAUACCCAACUUGGGGAUCUGGAGUUGCAAGGGAUGGAUGAACUCAGCUCAGUGGCAAGGGAAAUGGUUAGGCUAAUAGAGACUGCAACUGCUCCUAUAUUUGCUGUAGAUGUUGAUGGCUGCAUAAAUGGUUGGAAUGCAAAAGUUGCUGAGUUGACAGGGCUCUCAGUUGAGGAAGCUAUGGGAAAGUCUUUGGUUCAUGAUCUUGUUUAUAAGGAGUAUGAAGAAACUGUUGGCAAGCUUCUUUCUCAUGCUUUAAGAGGCAAAGAAGAUAAGAAUGUAGAAAUAAAAUUGAGGACAUUUGGCUCUGAACAAGAAAAGAAGGCUGUUUUUGUGGUGGUGAAUGCUUGUUCUAGCAAAGAUUACAUGAAUAAUAUAGUUGGAGUGUGCUUUGUUGGUCAGGAUAUUACUGGUCAAAAAGUGGUAAUGGACAAAUUCAUCCAUAUCCAAGGUGAUUACAGGGCUAUUGUUCAUAGUCCAAAUCCUUUGAUCCCUCCGAUAUUUGCUUCAGAUGAAAACACUUGCUGCUUGGAGUGGAACACUGCAAUGGAAAAGCUUACAGGGUGGACCCGAGGAGAAAUUAUUGGGAAGAUGUUGGUUGGGGAGGUUUUUGGCAGUUGCUGUCGGCUGAAGGGUCCAGAUGCAUUGACAAAAUUCAUGAUUGUCCUGCACAGUGCAAUUGGAGGACAGGAUACAGACAAAUAUCCAUUUUCCUUCUUGGAUCGGAAUGGAAAAUUUGUCCAAGCUCUUUUGACAGCAAACAAAAGGAUAGAUAUGGGGGGCCAGAUUAUUGGAGCCUUCUGCUUCUUGCAGAUUGCAAGUCAUGAGUUGCAGCAAGCUUUGAAAGUCCAGAGGCAACAGGAGAAGAAAUGCUUUACAAGGAUGAAAGAGUUGGCUUACAUUUGCCAGGAAAUAAAGAAUCCUCUAAGUGGUAUACGGUUUACAAACUCACUGUUGGAGGCUACAGACUUGACUGAGGAUCAAAAGCAGUUUCUUGAAACGAGUGCUGCUUGUGAGAAGCAGAUGUUGAAGAUCAUUCGAGAUGUUGAUCUGGAGAGUAUUGAAGAUGGUUCACUGGAGCUUGAGAAGGCUCAAUUCUUACUUGGGAGUGUCAUAGAUGCUGUAGUUAGCCAAGUAAUGUUAUUGCUGAGGGAAAGAAAUCUGCAAUUGAUUCGUGAUAUUCCAGAGGAAAUAAAAUCUCUGGCUGUAUAUGGUGAUCAGGUGAGAAUUCAACAGGUGUUGGCUGAUUUCUUGUUGAAUAUGGUGCGUUGUGCACCAUCUUCAGAAGGUUGGGUAGAGAUUCAUGUUCGUCCAACACUGAAGCAAGCCUCUGAUGGACUUACUGUUGUGCAUACAGAAUUCAGGAUGGUUUGCCCUGGUGAAGGUCUUUCUCCUGAAUUAGUUCAAGACAUGUUCCACAGCAGUCGAUGGACAACUCAAGAAGGCCUGGGGCUCAGCAUGUGCAGGAAGAUUUUGAAGCUAAUGCAAGGUGAAGUACAAUACAUCAGAGAGUCAGAAAGAUGUUAUUUCCUAGUUAUCCUUGAUCUUCCCUUGGCUCGGAGAGGUGCAAAAAGUGUUGACUAGCAUUUUUAGCCCUGGAGAUAUGCUGAAGAGCUUUCUCAAUUUUGACCACAACAUUGGUGAUGCAACUCAUGAAGACCAUUUUCAAAUCCCAGUUACGAGGUUUAAUCUUGUACCAAAGGCACCUGAUUAGGCUAAUCUUUAAGGUAAUACAGCUGUUUCAUUCCAUCCGUUUCAAACAUGUUUGAUGCUUUUCCAUUGACACUAGCUUGAAUUAGCAACCUUGGUGGCUGAUAAAUGUUUGCCUAGAAGCGUAAUGAUCUCAUUGAUAUGGUUAUGCCAUAUCAGAAUGUGGAAGUUGUGCUGUCAUGUAAUCAAGAAGCAAGGAAUGGAUCUUAGUACAUUUUUGUGAAGGCUUGCAUGAUAAAAGAGUCUUGCAGUUGGACUAAAUUGCAUCUGUAUCUUGCUGUAAGUAAAUAUUUCUAUCAUAUCUUCUCCUCAAGAUUAACAUAGCAUAUGGUCAGGCUACUUCCAAUCCUCCAGAGCUAGUAUUCUAAUAGUUUUAUUUUUUUUUAAUAAUAAUUUGAAAUGUCCAGCUCUGGUAUUUAGGAUGAGAAUUCUGACUGCCUUGUUUGUAAGUGCAGAUUGUUAUGGUGCUAGUGGGUUUUGAGGACAGAUUAUAAUGGAUAUAUGGUUCAUAGUUGAUUAAAAAA
rnacentral:misc_RNA from 1 species